AUGAGUCGUCAUGAUGGCAUCAACAUCCCUGAUGGCAAGUUCUACCUCAGAGAUGCUGGCUAUGCAUGUUGGCCAGGUGUUAUUCCACCCUUUAGAAAAAAUAGGUACCAUCUGAAUGAGUUCUCUGGUAGGAACUAUCUUAGGACUCCCCAGGAAUUGUUCAAUCUCACACACUCCAGCCUUAGAGUAACAGCCGAGAGGGCAUUUUAAGCUCUGAAGAAUAGGUUUAAGAUCCUGGAUCCGAAGCCAUUCCACCCUUAUCCUACCCAGGUCAAACUUGUUCUUGCAUGUUGCAUCAUUCACGACUAGAUUCUACAGUGGGGAAUUGAUGAACUUGUGCCGGAGGAGGAAGAUGCGACUCCUGAUGAGGUGAUCAGCUCUGGCCAUGGUGUGGGGGCGUUCGACAAUGAACCAUGGAAGAACAAAAGGUUAGAGUAA
rnacentral:rRNA from 1 species